rnacentral:tRNA from 1 species
GAAGUAAAAGUUCAAGAAAAAGCUGCUAACUUUUAUCUUUUAAUGGUUAAAUUCCAUUUAUACUUCU